UACGAAGGGGGGCUAGCGUUGCUCGGAAUUACUGGGCGUAAAGCGCACGUAGGCGGCUUUCUAAGUCGGGGGUGAAAUCCUGGAGCUCAACUCCAGAACUGCCUUCGAUACUGGAGAGCUUGAGUUCGGGAGGAGGUGAGUGGAACUGCGAGUGUAGAGGUGAAAUUCGGUAGAAUAUUCGCAAGAACACCAGGUGGCGAA
rnacentral:rRNA from 1 species